rnacentral:rRNA from 1 species
UUAAGUGACUAAGCGUACACGGUGGAUGCCUGGGCAGUCAGAGGCGAUGAAGGACGUACUAACUUGCGAUAAGCGCAGAUAAGGCAGUAAGAGCCGUUUGAGUCUGCGAUUUCCGAAUGGGGAAACCCAACUGCAUAAGCAGUUACUGUUAACUGAAUACAUAGGUUAACAGAGCAAACCGGGGGAACUGAAACAUCUAAGUACCCCGAGGAGAAGAAAUCAACCGAGAUUCCGGUAGUAGCGGCGAGCGAACCUGGAUUAGCCCUUAAGCACUCGGUGAAGUAGGUGAACAAGCUGGAAAGCUUGGCGAUACAGGGUGAUAGCCCCGUAACCGACGCUUCAUCGAGCGUGAAAUCGAGUAGGGCGGGACACGUGAUAUCCUGUCUGAAUAUGGGGGGACCAUCCUCCAAGGCUAAAUACUCCUGACUGACCGAUAGUGAACCAGUACCGUGAGGGAAAGGCGAAAAGAACCCCUGUGAGGGGAGUGAAAUAGAACCUGAAACCGUGUACGUACAAGCAGUAGGAGCACCUUCGUGGUGUGACUGCGUACCUUUUGUAUAAUGGGUCAGCGACUUAUAUUCAGUGGCAAGGUUAACCGUAUAGGGGAGCCGUAGCGAAAGCGAGUCUUAACUGGGCGCUCAGUCUCUGGAUAUAGACCCGAAACCGGGUGAUCUAGCCAUGGGCAGGUUGAAGGUUGAGUAACAUCAACUGGAGGACCGAACCGACUAAUGUUGAAAAAUUAGCGGAUGACUUGUGGCUAGGGGUGAAAGGCCAAUCAAACUCGGAGAUAGCUGGUUCUCCCCGAAAGCUAUUUAGGUAGCGCCUCGGACGAAUACUACUGGGGGUAGAGCACUGUUAAGGCUAGGGGGUCAUCCCGACUUACCAACCCUUUGCAAACUCCGAAUACCAGUAAGUACUAUCCGGGAGACACACGGCGGGUGCUAACGUCCGUCGUGGAGAGGGAAACAACCCAGACCGCCAGCUAAGGUCCCAAAGUAUUGCUAAGUGGGAAACGAUGUGGGAAGGCUCAGACAGCUAGGAUGUUGGCUUAGAAGCAGCCAUCAUUUAAAGAAAGCGUAAUAGCUCACUAGUCGAGUCGGCCUGCGCGGAAGAUGUAACGGGGCUAAGCAAUACACCGAAGCUGCGGCAAUAUCUUUUAGAUAUUGGGUAGGGGAGCGUUCUGUAAGCCGUUGAAGGUGAAUCGUAAGGUUUGCUGGAGGUAUCAGAAGUGCGAAUGCUGACAUGAGUAACGACAAAGGGGGUGAAAAACCUCCUCGCCGGAAGACCAAGGGUUCCUGUCCAACGUUAAUCGGGGCAGGGUGAGUCGACCCCUAAGGUGAGGCCGAAAGGCGUAAUCGAUGGGAAACGGGUUAAUAUUCCCGUACUUCUGACUAUUGCGAUGGGGGGACGGAGAAGGCUAGGUGGGCCAGGCGACGGUUGUCCUGGUUCAAGUGCGUAGGCUUGAGAGUUAGGUAAAUCCGGCUCUCUCUAAGGCUGAGACACGACGUCGAGCUGCUACGGCAGUGAAGUCAUUGAUGCCAUGCUUCCAGGAAAAGCCUCUAAGCUUCAGAUAGUCAGGAAUCGUACCCCAAACCGACACAGGUGGUCGGGUAGAGAAUACCAAGGCGCUUGAGAGAACUCGGGUGAAGGAACUAGGCAAAAUGGUACCGUAACUUCGGGAGAAGGUACGCUCUUGAUGGUGAAGUCCCUCGCGGAUGGAGCUGACGAGAGUCGCAGAUACCAGGUGGCUGCAACUGUUUAUUAAAAACACAGCACUGUGCAAAAUCGCAAGAUGACGUAUACGGUGUGACGCCUGCCCGGUGCCGGAAGGUUAAUUGAUGGGGUUAGCGCAAGCGAAGCUCUUGAUCGAAGCCCCGGUAAACGGCGGCCGUAACUAUAACGGUCCUAAGGUAGCGAAAUUCCUUGUCGGGUAAGUUCCGACCUGCACGAAUGGCGUAAUGAUGGCCACGCUGUCUCCACCCGAGACUCAGUGAAAUUGAAAUCGCUGUGAAGAUGCAGUGUACCCGCGGCUAGACGGAAAGACCCCGUGAACCUUUACUACAGCUUGGCACUGAACAUUGAACCUACAUGUGUAGGAUAGGUGGGAGGCUAUGAAGACGUGACGCCAGUUGCGUUGGAGCCUCCUUGAAAUACCACCCUUGUAUGUUUGAUGUUCUAACUUAGACCCAUUAUCUGGGUUGAGGACAGUGCCUGGUGGGUAGUUUGACUGGGGCGGUCUCCUCCCAAAGAGUAACGGAGGAGCACGAAGGUGGGCUAAUCACGGUUGGACAUCGUGAGGUUAGUGCAAUGGCAUAAGCCCGCUUAACUGCGAGAAUGACGGUUCGAGCAGGUGCGAAAGCAGGUCAUAGUGAUCCGGUGGUUCUGUAUGGAAGGGCCAUCGCUCAACGGAUAAAAGGUACUCCGGGGAUAACAGGCUGAUACCGCCCAAGAGUUCAUAUCGACGGCGGUGUUUGGCACCUCGAUGUCGGCUCAUCACAUCCUGGGGCUGAAGUCGGUCCCAAGGGUAUGGCUGUUCGCCAUUUAAAGUGGUACGCGAGCUGGGUUUAGAACGUCGUGAGACAGUUCGGUCCCUAUCUGCCGUGGGCGUUGGAAGAUUGAAGGGGGCUGCUCCUAGUACGAGAGGACCGGAGUGGACGAACCUCUGGUGUUCGGGUUGUGUCGCCAGACGCAUUGCCCGGUAGCUAAGUUCGGAAUUGAUAAGCGCUGAAAGCAUCUAAGCGCGAAGCGAGCCCUGAGAUGAGUCUUCCCUGAUACUUUAAGUAUCCUAAAGGGUUGUUCGAGACUAGAACGUUGAUAGGCAGGGUGUGUAAGCGUUGUGAGGCGUUGAGCUAACCUGUACUAAUUGCCCGUGAGGCUUAACCA